UGGUCAUUACCAAGGCUGCUAGGAUAUUAUGUUUCUGGUGAGCUGUGGACAUGACCGUAAAGCAAGUCCAUCAGACUCUUGAACUGCCACCUUGCGUGGCACUAGGUCUGCUGGGGAUAAAG
ensembl:snoRNA